rnacentral:rRNA from 1 species
UGGGGAAUAUUGCACAAUGGGGGAAACCCUGAUGCAGCGACGCCGCGUGAACGAAGAAGGUAUUCGUAUCGUAAAGUUCUGUCCUAUGGGAAGAUAAUGACAGUACCAUAGAAGAAAGCUCCGGCUAAAUACGUGCCAGCAGCCGCGGUAAUAAGUAUGGAGCGAGCGUUGUCCGGAAUUAUUGGGCGUAAAGGGUACGCAGGCGGUUUAAUAAGUCGAAUGUUAAAGAUCGGGGCUCAACCCCGUAAAGCAUUGGAAACUGAUAAACUUGAGUAGUGGAGAGGAAAGUGGAAUUCCUAGUGUAGUGGUGAAAUACGUAGAUAUUAGGAGGAAUACCAGUAGCGAAGGCGACUUUCUGGACACAAACUGACGCUGAGGUACGAAAGCGUGGGGAGCAAACAGG